rnacentral:tRNA from 1 species
CCCGGCGUAGUGUAAUGGAAACACGAUACGUUGUCAGCGUAUCAUCGAGGGUUCGAUUCCCUUCGUCGGGAC